UACAGAGGCCACGAGCGUUAAUCGGAAUCACUGGGCUUAAAGGGUGCGCAGGCGGCUCGGAAAGCGUUCCGUGAAAUCCCCCGGCUCAACCGGGGAACUGCGGAGCGAACUGCCGAGCUUGAGACAAGUAGGGGCGGGCAGAACUGUAGGUGGAGCGGUGAAAUGCGUAGAUAUCUACAGGAAUGCCGAUGGUGAAGACGGCCCGCUGGGCUUGUUCUGACGCUCAUGCACGAAAGCGUGGGGAGCAAACAGG
rnacentral:rRNA from 1 species